rnacentral:ncRNA from 1 species
CUCGGGCGACGCUACGAGAAGCCUUUGUGGCCCCGCAAGGGGUACCCGCCACGACUAUAAACAAGGCAAGUGGGUAUUAAAUCGCAAGUCAGCAGCCGCUGGCGACACUUUCGAAUUGCGGGGACGUCCUAAAGCCCACCUCUACCAACCGGCCGCGGAAACGCGGUCGGGGCCUGUGUUAACAGCACGGGGUACGGUAACAACGAGGCGGGAUACAGCUGUUUCGCGGCUACAUGGGCAAUCCGCAGCCAAGUCCCUAAGGCGGUCCGCCGCUACGGGAAAGGUUCACAGACUAAGUGGAAGUGGGCUGGGGUUCGUUCAACCCAGCUUAAGAUAUAGUCGGGCUCCGGUCGAAAGUCCGGAGGAGUCAAACCGUUCCGUAGGUGAACCUGCGGAAGGAUCAUUA